rnacentral:other from 1 species
GUUUCAAUUCCUCAUAGGUAAGCUAGCAAC